rnacentral:rRNA from 1 species
UACGUAGGGGGCUAGCGUUAUUCGGAAUUACUGGGCGUAAAGGGUGCGUAGGUGGUUUCUUAAGUCAGAGGUGAAAGGCUACGGCUCAACCGUAGUAAGCCUUUGAAACUGAGAAACUUGAGUGCAGGAGAGGAGAGUAGAAUUCCUAGUGUAGCGGUGAAAUGCGUAGAUAUUAGGAGGAAUACCAGUUGCGAAGGCGGCUCUCUGGACUGUAACUGACACUGAGGCACGAAAGCGUGGGGAGCAAACAGGAUUAGAUACCCGUGUAGU